rnacentral:lncRNA from 1 species
AAAUAAUCCGGAUGGGCUUAGUGCUUGUGAUGUUACUGAUGGACCCAGCUAAGCCCAUAUCCCAUAGCCUCUGGCAUUAAACAGCACAGAAUUACUUGCAACCGUGUCUAUCCCAAACCCUAGCCGUGAAUUCGCCUCCGCUUCGAAGAUGCAGAUCUUCGUGAAAACCCUAACGGGGAAAACCAUUACCCUGGAGGUGGAGUCGUCUGAUACCAUCGACAAUGUCAAAGCCAAGAUCCAGGAUAAGGAGGGUAUCCCGCCGGACCAGCAGCGCCUCAUCUUCGCCGGAAAGCAGCUAGAAGAUGGACGCACCCUUGCCGACUACAACAUCCAGAAGGAGUCCACCCUUCAUCUCGUACUCCGUCUCCGCGGAGGCGCUAAGAAGCGCAAGAAGAAGACGUACACCAAGCCAAAGAAGAUCAAGCACAAGCACAAGAAGGUCAAGCUCGCCGUCCUCCAGUUCUACAAGGUUGAUGACUCUGGCAAGGUCCAGAGGCUGCGCAAGGAGUGUCCCAACGCUGAGUGCGGUGCUGGAACUUUUAUGGCCAAUCAUUUUGACAGGCACUAUUGUGGUAAGUGUGGGCUUACCUAUGUCUACAAUAAGGCCGGUAAUGAUUGAGAAACUGAGUUAUCUCCGUGGGAAUUCUUGUUUUCUGCUGUUUUGAUUGUCCCAAUCGCUCUUUGCCGAUUAUGAUUUGAAUCUUUACUAUGAAUUUUUGGUUUAGGCAAUAUGUUUAAGACAUUAAAUGUGUUUUAGUUUAGUUUACAGUUAAUGGAUAAUUGCUAUUACUUUUAACAGUAUCUUUCAUGUGAUGAAAUUUUGAAUUCUGUUUGUUGGAUUAAAUUUUAAUAUCUUGGAACGGUUUUAGAGACAUUUGGUUGUUAUUGCUUUGCCUUGGUUAAUGAUAGUGAUGGAACAACUUGGAAGUUCCAUAGCAAUGAAAAAUUAAAGUAAUUGGACAUAAUUCUGAAUAAAUGGGUGCUUGCUUAUUCCUAAAUUUUUUGUACAUCAAAUACAGUAGUACAACCUUUUCUUGAGAAUGAUGAACGUGCUACUAUCGUGGUGUAAUUUUUGAUGCAUUAAUGGAGAUUUGUAGAAUCAUCAUUCAAGAGAAACAUGA